rnacentral:sRNA from 1 species
AGGGUAGACGAGCUGGCCCCUAUUGAAGUCCAGUUCUAACGUUUAAUAAGGUAUAUCAUG